rfam:Rhizobium yanglingense strain CCBAT 01603 genomic scaffold C601, whole genome shotgun sequence.
GCGGGUGUAGCUCAGGGGUAGAGCACAACCUUGCCAAGGUUGGGGUCGAGGGUUCAAAUCCCUUCGCCCGCU